rnacentral:rRNA from 1 species
UACGUAGGGGGCAAGCGUUGUCCGGAUUUAUUGGGCGUAAAGAGCGUGUAGGCGGCCAGGUAGGUCAGCUGUGAAAACUCGAGGCUCAACCUCGAGACGUCGGCGGAAACCAUCUGGCUAGAGUCCGGAAGAGGAGAGUGGAAUUCCUGGUGUAGCGGUGAAAUGCGCAGAUAUCAGGAAGAACACCCGUGGCGAAGGCGGCUCUCUGGGACGGUACUGACGCUGAGACGCGAAAGCGUGGGGAGCGAACAGG